UUUUUUUUAUUUUACUGAAAACAAUUUAGGCUCUCUAUUCGAUUGAAAAGCUACCUCACGGAUUGAGAUGGCAUUAGUGGAUAAGAGUUUGGAAAAUUUGAGUCUUGAUGAGGAAGAAGACAAAGGGCUCCAAUUUGUAGUAGAAGAAGGACCACAACAAUCAGUAUAUGAUUUAUGUUUAGUUGGAUGUGCCCUUAUUGCAAGUGUGGUCAAUUUCUUAGCCAUGAAAAAUGCAAUGGCUAAUUUAUGGCACCCGCUAGGGGGAAUUCAAAUCUCUAAAAUUGGAGAAAAAAUGUAUUUGUUCAGAUUUUUCUAUGAGGUUGAUUUGGAGCGGGUGAUAAGUGGAACACCUUGGACCUUUAAUAAUCAUCUACUUAUCCUCUACAAAUUAAAAAAUGGUGAGGAUCCAAGUUCUAUUCUAUUAGAGUUUUUUCUUAUUUUUGGGUGCAAAUUCAUAAUCUUCCACUAGGUUUUUUUACUGAUCAUGUGGCACAAUUAUUGGGAAAUUUUAUUGGAAAAUUUUUAGAACAUGAUACAAAACAACUUAAUCAAGGCUUUAGAAAUUUCAUGCGAAUUAGAGUUCAAAUUGAUAUUAGGAAUCCUCUCAAGAGAAAAAAGAAGAUCUUGAUCCCCCAUUAAGAUCCAAUUUUUGUGAGAUUUCGCUACGAAAAAUUAUCUUUAUUUUGCUUUCUUUGCAGAUGUUGGGACAUGGAGACAAAUUUUGCCAAAAAAGGAUUAAUUUAGGAUUGAAAGAAGUGGAGUAUGGAUGGGAUGUUUCACUUAGGGCGUAGCCUAGGAGGGUGAGCAUCACUCCAAGCGCUUGGUUAAGGGAAGAUAAUGUAGGAAGUAUUUUUGGGAAAGGGAAUGAGAAGGAAGAUGUUCGUAAUAAUCUAGGCUGGCGACAAGAAUUGGGAUUUAAUAGUCAAACUUUGGGGUUUAAUUUAAAAGGAGAAAAACAUCAAGAAAAAGGAAAAGGUAUAAUAUGGCAAAGCGAUGGAGAGAGAAGACAUGGUAGAGGAUAUGGAAGAUAUUCCAUUAGAGAAUGAAGAAGGGAAAAAGACAUUUAGGUCAGGAGAUCACAAAGUUGUGGAUGGACAAGGGGAACGAAGAGAGAAUUACUUUAAAAACCAGAUAUCGAUGACUGCCAAUAGACAAGCCGACCGGUCACAACGAAAAUCUUAAAUUGGAACGUCCUUGGAUUGGGGAGUCCACAGGGCGUUAGAAAACUUCAGCAUAUGCUGAAAAUUUAUAAUCCCCAAACUGUUUUCUUAAUGGAAACAAAAUUAAAUAAUUCUCGAAUGGAAAGGGUUCGACAAUGAUGUGGAUUUAAUUACGGUAUCGAAGUCCCAGCAAUAGGAACAAGAGAAGGGUUAAGUCUUGGUUGGAAAAAUGAUGUAACGAUCAAUUUAAGAAGCUUCUCCAAACAUCAUAUUGACGUCGACAUUGAGGAUAAUGAAAUUAGGGCAAAUUGGAGAUUAACAGGUUUCUAUGAUGCAUCAGAAGCUCGUGGAAGGGGUGAGGCUUGGGAUAUUUUAAGGAGAUUAGGAAGGGAAUAAGAGUCAAAUUGGUUGGUUUGUGGAGAUUUUAAUGAGAUUUUAUAUGCUUUCGAAAAGGAAAGGGGUCUACCUAGGAGGAAGGUCGAAUGGAAUAAUUUUGAACAGUUCUUUGUGAUUUUCGAUUGGAAGAUGUGGGUUAUGAAAGUGGUUUACAUGGGAGCGUGGCAAUCUUCCAACAACAAACAUUAAAGAACGUCUAGACAGAGGGGUUGCAAACAAAAAUUGGUUAGAAUCAUUUCCUGAAAUCACAAUACGGCAUUAGCCGCAUUCUUUCUCGGACCAUUGCCCUUUGCUUUUAGAAACAAAAAUUGAAGGGAUAUUUAAAAGAACGGUAGAAUUUAGAUUUGAAGCAUGGUGGACUAUGGAAACCUCUUGUGAGACGGAAGUGAAAAGGCUUUGGACAAUGAAUAAUGGAGGGGUUAUAGAAAAAUUAAAAUCAGUGGGCAAAGGAUUAUAGAGAUGGGCUAUGGGAAUAAGAAAGUUCAGAAGAGGAUUGACAAAAAAGUUAUUAGCCUGAAUCGAAGAUCUUGAUGGAAAGGAAAGGACAGAUGAAAACUUGGCUGAACUAAUUGAUGUUAAAAUCAACUUGAAUUUGGAAAUUGAUAAAGAAGAAAAAUAUUGGGAACAACGAGAUAGAAUGAAUUGGCUGAAAGAAGGCGAUAGGAAUACAAAAUUUUUCCAUAAUUUUGCUUUCCAUAGAAGAAGAAUAAACAGAAUUGAAGAGCUAGAGAACGAACACGGCCAGUUAGUUUCUGAUAGAAAAGCAAUGAAGGACGUGGCUAAACGAUAUUUUGAAAACUUGUUUUCAUUAAGAGGAGUUGGUAAUCUUGAUAACAUAUUGUCAGGAAUUGGAACGCACAUAUCAUAUUCUAUGAAUAUCAAUCUAAGUAAAGACUUUACUAGUGAUGAAGUUUUUUCAGCACUUCAAAGCAUGGGACCGACAAAAGUAGCUGGAUGUGAUGCUUUUCCAGCCUUAUUUUUCCAAAAGUUUUAGCAUAUUAUUGGAAAAGAAGUUGGAGAUUUCUGUCUUAAGAGUUUAAAUGAGGGAGGGCUAAUUGAAGAUAUUAAUUUAACAAAUAUUGUGCUUAUACCAAAAGUGGCAAGCUCUACCAACCUAAAAAAUUUUCGGCCUAUUAGUUUAUGUACAGUCAAGUACAAGAUUAUCGCUAAGACAGUGGCAAAUAGGCUUCAACACAUUCUUGAUAAAUGUAUUGAUAAAGCCCAGAGUGCAUUCGUUCCAAGAAGACUCAUUACAGAUAGCAUCCUACUGGCCUAUGAAUUAACGCAUUCAUUAAAACAAAAAAGAGCAGGCAACAAUGGAAGUUUGCCCUAAAAUUGAAUAUGAGUAAAGUGUAACAUCCUUUACCUGAGACCCGAGACCAAGACCAGGUACGAGGCGUCACCAGACAUGUACUCAAACAUUUUUAGUAAAUAAGGGUUAUAAAAUUUCGUUCCAAAUUGAAACUAAUCCAACAACAACUUGGUGUCCCUAUUAUGAGCCUACGAGACCCUAAACAUACAUUGAGAACGAUCCGAGAUUAAACCGAGAACUUAAGAAAGUUCCUGGAAAAUUUUCUAGGUUAAGCCUCAAACGCUCGUGUGGAGGCAAUGCACACAGCCGUGUGCUUUGGGACACGCCCAUGUCCCCUACCCGUAUGGAAUUUAUUGAAUUUAUAACCUACAAGGGUUUUCACAUGGCCAAGCACAUGCCCGUGUCCUUCACACGGCCUAGACAUGUCUGUGUCCCUGGCCCAUGUCCUUCACAUGGCCUAGACAUGCCUGUGUGGUCGCCUAUGUCCAAGAACUCGAGCAUUCUUUUUAUGACGUCAGCAUGCAUUUAAGGGCACACGGCCAAGACACACGCCCGUGUGCUAGGCUGUGCCCUCCACACAGUUGAGACACACGGCCAUGUCUCUACCCGUUUGUUUACUACCAUGCAUUCUGACUUAAAAUUUUCAGGUGCAGGGGACACACAGCCAUAUCACAUGCCCAUGGGGUGAUCCGUGUGUCACACACAGCCAAGACACAAGCUCGUAUGUCUACCCGUGUGGACCUUGUUGGGCUAUUUUCUAAGCCUUUGAUCACCCUCUAAUGUUCAUACCCACUUAUAGUUUUCAAUAACACUUGGCAUGGUCUAAUUAUACUCUUAAAUGACAUUGAUAAACCUCAUUGCAUGUAAACCUCAUCUCAUCGAUUUUAUACAUGUUUGAUUAUCCUUUUUAUAUUAAGGAUUUCUAUGACUAAUAACUCAAUUUAGCUUGGCUCAUUGUCUUAACUCAUUGCCAAAUUGUGGCCUAACCACCCCAUGUGAUUUGGUUAUAUUGUAUAUGACUAAUUGUAACACACCAUAUUUAAUCAUCACAAGAACAUUGGAACAUAAUCAUGCACAAUUUGGUAGGUCAUAACCUACACUAAAAUGAGCCAAUUCCUAUGGCCAUAUACAAGUGAAUAUGUAUACUUUUAUAAGCCUUCAUAUUGGCUAAUCAAAUGACACACAUAACAAAAUAAUAAAAGCCCUAUACAUGUCAUUGAAUAAAACAAAAGUAAAUAUAUACCAAAGCUAGAUGAGAUGAUAGUGUGUUGAUUCUCCAACCGUCUUCCAACCUCUAUGAGUCCUCGAGCUCUGUAAGACAGGGAAAAGAGAGGGGUAAGCAUUUACAUGCUUAGUAAGCCCUAAUAACUGGGAAGUAAACUUACCAAUUAAUUAGCAUACAUCCAUAUUAGGUAAUAAAACCAACAAGAAUGAAAUAGUUUCCCUAUCAUAUGCACUCAAUCAACAAGUUAGUCCAUAACAAUACACCAUGUAAUUUGUCUUAAAUGAGCUCAUUAUCCAAGAAUUUCAUUUUUACAUCUCAUGUUAAUCCCAUGGAGUUUCUCGGAAAUCUCGAUGGAUUAUCCAUUUACCGUCAAGUCAUAAGAGCGAUCAUCUCAAGUACGCACUCCCGUGAACCUCACAUCAUAUAGCGGGAUUACCAGUCCAGGCUAAAUCCUCCGUAAUAUCAACUCAUAGGGUGAUGUCGGGAUUACUAGUCCAGGCUAAAUCCCUUGUAGUGACAAACACCCGUAAUGAGCUCAGAUCUGAAUUACCACUCCAUUCUAAAUUCAGACCCUAAUCGAAUUACCCAUCCGGGCUAAAUCCACAAUGCACACUGUAAGGACCCAAAUUUGCCCGGGCCCGAAGAAAAAACCAAAAUUAAAAAAAUCAUAAUUAAGUGUCCACAAGUACAAAUUACAUAACCCAGGUCUAAACCCAAAACAUUACAAACCCAAACCCAAAUUUUAGACCCAAAACCAAAUUAACACCAAUCCCAUGUCCCUAAUAUAAACCGAUACCCAGAAUGGGUCCAAACGGCCCAAGUACCAAACCAACUUCAGCAAACCCUAGGUCAUCCCCUUUCUCCUACGCCGCAAUAGCAACCCCAGCCUUCGUACUAGUGACCACGCCCUUGCACUGUACGACGCACCAGCACCAGUGCGCACCCCACACCUGUAGAAACAGACAAAGCAAUAACAGCACAUACCCAAUGCGAAAGCAAAGAAAUAAUUUUGUAUUUUUAUUUAUUUAUUUCUACCAUUUUCGGCUAUAAAGCCAGAAUUUUAAUCUUUGUAAAAGGAGGCACACUUACGCAUACAGAUAUUAAAUACAAAGAAAGAAAGAGAGGAAGGUGAUUUUCCUUUCUUUGAAUCUCCGAAUUUGUUGCGUUUUUUUCUUGAUCUAUUCCUUUCGACUUCUUUUUUUUUCAUUUUUCGCAUCUAAAACAAUAAAAAGAAAAGAAGAGAGUGAAACGAAACCUUACCUCGCAAAUCCGCUGUUGGUUCUUCCUUGCCUCGUCGAAGUCGAAGGUGGAGGAGGAAUCUUGAGGCCGAAAAUCCUCUUCAAAAGGCGAAUACGCCUGUGGUUGGAGACGAUGGGGGUGAGAGCCAAAUGAUUUGGCUAAAGGUCGGCUAAAAAAUAAACGAAAUGGGGACUAAGGUUUUGAAAUGGCUGAAUAGCCAAAUUUAGGGGUUUUUAAAGGUCUGAAUACGGUGUCGUUUUGGGCCUGAUUCAGUGGCUCCAAAAACGGCGUCAUUUAGAUGUUAGAGCUCCGCGCGUCGACCCGUCCCAGGACCCGGAUCCACGCCUCUAUGCCUCGAAUGGGGAAUUUGCAAUAUCAAUCCUUCCCUUUGUGCGCGCAUUCCAUUGGAAUCCUUAUGCGAUUUUAAUAUUUAAACUUUUUACUUUUAAUUCCAUUUUGAUUUCAAUUUAGUCCUUCCUUUAAUCUCAGCAGUGUAUUUUAUUUAUUAAAUAUCCUUUAGUUUAUUUUUCAUUUUAAUUGAAUCCUUUUAAUUUGUAUAGUUCAUUAUUUUUUUUAAUUCGUUUAGCAUUUAUUUUAUUUUCAUAUACAUUUUAAAUUACUUUGAUAAUUCACUCUUUUUUAUUAUAAAACUAUUAUCUUAAAAUUACUUUGUAUAUCAUGUUGUUGUCAAAAUUUUGUAUAAUAUUUAAUUUAUAUUUAAUUUAUAUUAAUACAUGUAUGAUUUAUGAUAAAUGUAGUUUUAUUUUGUACACAUUAUUAGUUCUAUGUUAUUUUACACAUGUAAUUUCUUUUAAAUCUAUUUAUUUGUAUUUCUUUUUAAAUUUAUUACGCAUAUAAUUUAUUCUCUAAAAACAUGUUUUAUUAUUUCCUUGUUAUUUAAAAUUAUUUCAUGUAUAUAUUGUUUUAUCAUAUAUUGGUUUGCUAUUCUGUCAUGUAUAUUGUUUAUUCUUUAUCUUUAUUAUAUCUUCAUUAUAUAUUAUUUACAUUGAUUUUCAUUAUUGUAUAUAUAUCACCACCCUUAAGUAGAUAUUUUGUUUUUAAAAAUAUUUUUGGUAUGAUAUUUGCUCCAAAUCUCUUCUUUCACAAUGUUUAUUUCGAUAUUAUUUAUUAGUUUUAUUUUUAUAUAUGCAAAUCAUUUCAAACCCAGAUGUUGCUUAUUUGUAAUUUUUCAUAUUAAAUAGUUUUCAAAUUGUUUCCAUAUUGUUUUGUAUAUUGUUUAUAUUGUUUUGUUAUAAAUUUAUUUUCAUACUUAUAUAUACGUAAAUGUUUCCUAUAUUAUCAGUUUUGAAUAGUUGAACAUUAUGUUUUUAUAUGCAUUGUUGAUCUUCUAUUAUUUCAUGUAUUUUCCUUUAAAUCUAUUUCAUUGUACAUUUCCUUUUAAAUCAUUUUUUAUACAUAUAUAUACAUAUAUAAAUUAAAAAAACCUAUUAUGUGUAUAGUUCAUUACACAAAAACAUAUUUUAUUACAUAUUCUUUUGUUAUUUAAGAACCUGAUACGAGAUCAAAGGCCCGACAAAUGCGUUCCAAACUAAAUGGGACCAUCCAGGAGUUUGUUAGUAAGGCCUUAGAUGCGUACACAAAAGAAAAGGAAAAUCAAGAUUUCAAAUAUUGGGAAUCUUGGUCCAAGACACCAAAUCUUGCAGCCAAAGCGCAUUGGAUCUCCAUUACGAGCAUCAACGAUUCAAUUUCGGUAGGAGAUGGAUCACAAGCCCAAAUUCUUGAGGGCAAGGCCCAAUAAGAAGAUUCCAAGCCCAAUCAAGAAAUCCACCCAUACUUAGUUGAAAAUCAGGCCAAAUUUCAAAGUGGCCCAAGUUGUAAAGUUUUAUUUUUAUUUAUUUAUUUUAUUUAGUUUAAAUUUUUAUAUUCAGUCCAAGAGUCCCAAAUAAAAGACCCUUGGCCGAAUUUCCAUAUUAAAAUAAUUAGGAGUUUUUUUUAGUUUUAGUUUUAGUGUUCUAAUUAAAUUAGGAAAACAUUUGAAAGGCCUAUUUAUAUGGCUUGGCUAGCCACCCUACAUUACAUUACAAUUACAUUGAAAAUUUCAGAUUUUAUUUGAGUGAAAAUUCUCUUUGAGUUCUUCAAGGAUUUUCUCUUGAGUUUUCUUUAGAAGUUGUUUUAACAAUCUUUUUGAUUGUGGGAGCCAUCUUCAACCUUCUUCUUGCCAUUGAUAUUCUUUGGAGGGGAGAUUAGAGCCGUUUGAAGGGAGUUGUGAGAUCUUUCGGGAUUUCAAGGCUUCUUAGGACUUAUCUUUUAAUUUCUUACUGUCAAUUCUUUCUUUAUUUCUGCUUGUGCCGAAUCUUUAUCUAAUUUAUUUUCUGUUCUUAUUGUGUUUUCAGCUUUUUUCUAUCUUAAGGAAUUAGCCCAAAAAUCUCCAAUUUUUAGGGUUCUUGCCGAUUCAUCCAUACUCUUUUUGGGAGAAAUUAGAUUGCCGAAAUUUGGGGAAAACUAUCUGGGUGUUCAAUUGGGCAGAAUCGCAAUCUCUUCUAGGGUUUCAAGAUUCCUUAUUAACACUUAUUUCUAUUCUCAAUUUGAUUCUUUGCUGAUUUGGGGAUUUUAUUUCAGAUCUGAAAAUUCAAAAAUCUAAUCUUUUAAUUUUCUGUUUCGUUUCAGAUCUAAUUGUUUAGGGUUUUCGUAGGAGUUUCCCGUGACUUGACAACUCGAUCUUGGUCCGCGCGCAACCCCGUAUCAUUUGGUAUCAGAUUUUGGGCGUUUUGGGUGUUCUUGGUUGAUUUCUAAACUGAUCUCUAUUUUUAAAAUUACAAACAGCAGUUUUACCUAGAAAAAUUUUCGAAAAAAAUUCAUUUGAGUGGGUAAACGUUUUCUGAUUGAUCUGAAAUUUUACAUACAUAUUUUUGGCACUGUUAUUGAAUAUAAAAAAAUAUUUCCCGCAAAAAAAUAAGUCGAAAAAGUCAAAAAAUUGAAAAAGACGAAAUCCAAUAAAAAGAUUAAAAAAAUUUUCAGCGGGUUGAAUUUGGUGCCCAAAUUUUCCAGAUCAAAAAUUCAAUAUUUGAAGACAUUCCAGAUUUAAUUUUGUGAUUUUUGUAGAUCGGGAACACCUCGAACGAAGUUGUCAAGUUACUCCGCAGUUUUUCGGGUUUUCUGUUUUCAGCAAUUUCUAUUGAUUCUUAGCUGUAGGUUUUCAUUUGUUUCCCUUUAUUCUUCCUUUACGUUAUCUAACACCUUCUUGUUUCUUGUGUUAGUAGGAUUUAAACGUGUGCACAACUUCUUCCUCGGUGCAACACGAAUCAAUUGGUGUCUCGUCAGUUUUUGGCAUCCUAGUGCAAAUUAGGAUUCUUUGGUAGUUUGGUUCAGACUCUCUAAUUGGUUGAUAUAAACUCUGAUAAAGAACUCACAAGAUUGAAUUCGACCUCAUUGAGAAUUUGAUUUUUUCUUUUUGAGUGAUUAACGGUGAGGUUUGAUAACUUUUAUUUUUGAGUGUUGAGUGUUUUGCAGGUUUUAAAAAAAAAUGUCUACAGGUGAUAAUAAUAGUGACAUAUUUAAAAAAUUCCAACAACAGUUGGAUGAACAGGCUGCUGCUCUUCGAGCUUUGACUGCUACCAUUAAUGAGGUGCGAUUGAAUCAAGAACCUCAUCCAAUCAAAGAAGAUAGGGAUAACCAACCCCAAAGGCGCGGCCCUCGACGUGUCACUAGAAUGGAUGAUAAUUUUCAUGAUCGUGGGCAACCUUCUUUGGCAAAACCGAAAUUCACAAUUCCCCAAUUUCGUGGUAAGAAUGAUCCUGACGCUUAUUGUGAAUGGGAAUCUAAGAUUGAACUUAUGUUUCGGUAUUAUAAAUGUCCGGAUGAUGAAAAGGUAGCGUUAGCAACACUGGAAUUUUCUGAUUAUGCAUUAAGUUGGUGGACUCAACUUGGGGUAAACCGCCAUCGGAAUUAUGAAGGUGAGAUUUCGACAUGGGAUGAGUUGAAACAGAUUAUGCGUAAAAGGUUUAUUCCACCUCACUACUAUAGAGAAAUUAAAACAAAGCUGAGAAGACUUAUCCAAGGUAGUAGGACGGUGGAUGAAUAUUUUAAAGAGAUGGAGAUGCUCAUUCAGAGAGCUAACAUGGAGGAGGAUGAAGAAACAACUAUGGUUCGAUUCAUUGAUGGUUUGAACAGGCCGAUAGCUAAUACAUUGAGGCUACAAACUUAUAUUGAUUUGGAAGAAGCAGUUCAUAAAGCCAUUGAGAUCGAGCAACAAUUAAAGGAACAAAGGUUUGGGUCAUUCUCUACUUCACAAUAUUACCGAGGUAACAAUUUCAAUUCUGAUUUUAAGAGUUCAAAAUCACCUUUUGUUACUAACAAGUCUUCUUUGAGUAAUGGAAGUAAACAAUCAGAUUGGAAAAAAGGGGCUCCUGCAAAAACGCAAACACCGUCUAAGCAGCCCAAUUUAAGUGAUUCGAGUGCGAAGAGGACUCGUGAGAUUGAAUGCUUUAAGUGCAAAGGGCGUGUUCAUUACAGUAGAGAAUGCCCUAACACGAGAUUACUUCUUCUAAAAGAUAACGGUGAGUACACUUCCGACUCUGAUAAUACAGAUCCAGAUAUGCCAGAACUUGUGGAUGACAGUGAUAAUGGCGACGAGUUGGUCAAACCACCAACGGAAGGGGACUUUGCUAAUUUUCAAUGCCUUGUAGUUCGUCGAACCCUUAACAUUCAGAUGAAAGAUGAUGAGAGUCAAAGGACCAAUAUUUUCCAUUCUCGGUGUUUUAUUAAAGGUAACUUAUGUUCACUCAUUAUUGAUCGUGGGAGUUGAUCGAAUGUAGUGAGUAGUUAUUUGGUGGAUUCUUUAAAGUUGCCUUGUACCAAACACCCUAAGCCAUAUCACCUUCAGUGGCUUAAUGAAUGUUCCGAAGUUAAAGUUACGAAACAGUCCUUGGUCACUUUUAAACUCGGCAAUUAUGAGGAUGACAUAUGGUGUGAUGUAGUCCCCAUGCAUGCGGCACACUUGCUCCUUGGACGACCUUGGCAAUUUGAUCGCGAUGUUACACACCAAGGUAAACUUAAUCGAUACUCCAUUGUAUUUAAAGGCAAGAAAUUCACUUUUGCUCCUUUAAAUCCUACUGAUGUAUAUAAAGAUCAAUUGAGGAUGAUAAAAUUUUGUGAGGGGGUAAUGGAGAAAGAGCAAGUACAAAAGACAGAGAGAAAAGAGGCUAAUAGUAGUGGAAAAAGUCAAAAUUUAAAAAGCCCAAAGGUGAGUGAAUCCUUUAGUGGUAAAAUGAGCGGAAAAAAUCUUUUGGCAACAAAAAAAGAUGUGAAGAGAGCCCUACUUAAUAAACAGCCUUGUAUCCUUGUGAGGUUUAGGCAAAAUUAUUUAUCUUUAUCUAACAUUAACGAAAAUUUGCCUAGUGUGUUUCAAUCUCUUUUGCAGGAUUAUGAGGAUGUUUUUAGUGAGGCCCCUAAAGGUUUACCACCUUUACGAGGGAUAGAACAUCAAAUUGACUUAGUACCCGGAGCUUCAAUCCCAAAUCGACCAGCCUAUAGAUGCAAUCCCGAUGAGACAAAGGAAUUGCAAAGGCAAGUGGAGGAAUUACUAGACAAAGGGUACAUUCGUGAGAGCCUAAGUCCUUGUGCUGUUCCUGUCUUAUUGGUGCCAAAGAAAGAUGGUACGUUUCGUAUGUGUGUUGAUUGUCGCCCAAUCAACAAGAUAACGGUAAAGUAUCGACACCCAAUCCCUAGACUUGAUGAUAUGCUUGAUGAAUUACAUGAUUCAAUAAUAUUUACAAAAAUUGAUUUAAAAAGCGGUUAUCAUCAAAUUCGAAUGAAGGAAGGGGAUGAAUGGAAAACAGCCUUUAAAACAAAAUUUGGAUUGUAUGAAUGGUUAGUUAUGCCUUUCGGCCUUACUAAUGCACCUAGUACAUUUAUGAGAUUAAUGAAUCAUGUUUUGAGGCUACAUUUGGGUAAAUUUGUAGUAGUUUACUUUGAUGAUAUUUUAAUUUACUCAAAGUCAUUAGAUGAUCAUGUUUUCCAUGUUCGAACCGUUUUGGAUCUUCUACGAAUUGAAAGAUUAUUUGCCAACCUUGAUAAAUGCACAUUCUGUUGUGAUAAACUAAUAUUCUUAGGUUUCAUAGUUAGUGCUCAAGGUAUUCAUGUCGACGAGGACAAAGUUAAGGCAAUUAAGGAGUGGCCGACUCCUAAAUCGGUAACUGAGGUGAGAUCUUUCCAUGGUUUAGCCAGUUUUUAUAGACGAUUUGUGAAAGAUUUCUCUACUAUUGCUGCCCCAUUGACUGAAGUUAUAAAGAAAUCAGUGGGUUUCAAAUGGGGUGAAACCCAAGAAAAGGCCUUUCAAACUCUAAAAGCUAAGUUAUGUUCUGUUCUUUUGCUUAAAUUACCUGAUUUUGCUAAAACUUUUGAACUUGAGUGUGAUGCUUCAAGAAUUGGAAUUGGCGCUGUUUUAAUGCAAGAUAAGCAACCUAUUGCUUAUUUUAGUGAGAAAUUGAAUGGUGCACAGUUCAACUACUCGACUUAUGACAAAGAACUAUUAGCAUUAGUUCGUGCACUUCAAGUAUGGCAACAUUAUUUGCUGCCUAAUGAGUUUGUCAUACACACAGAUCACGAAUCUCUUAAAUGGUUAAAGGGACAAGGUAAGUUGAGUAAAAGACAUGUUCGAUGGGUAGAAUUCAUUGAAACAUUCCCUUAUGUGAUACAAUAUAAAACAAGUAAAGAUAAUGUAGUUGCAGAUGCUUUGUCUAGACGAUAUACUUUAAUAACUACAUUGAAUGCUAAAGUCUUAGGGUUCGAACAUAUUAAGGAACUAUAUGAUGAUGAUGCUAAUUUCGGCCAUAUCUAUAAGAAUUGUGGACAUACUGCUUUCGAUAAAUUUUAUCUUGUAGAUGGCUUUCUUUUUCGUAUGAACAGGUUAUGCAUACCAAAGUGUUCCAUGAGAGACUUAUUGAUUCAUGAGGCCCAUAGUGGAGGUUUAAUGGGACAUUUUGGAGUGGCCAAAACACUGGAUAUUUUGCAAGAACACUUCCAUUGGCCACAUAUGAAAAAGGAUGUCGAAAAGGUAUGUUCCAAGUGCAUUACAUGCAAACAAGCAAAAUCUAAGGUAAUGCCUCAUGGCCUUUACACUCCUUUACCGAUUCCUACUUCACCUUGGGUAGAUUUAUCCAUGGACUUUAUUCUAGGUUUGCCUCGAAAUAAGAAAGGAAGAGAUAGUAUAUUUGUUGUUGUUGACAGGUUCUCAAAGAUGGCACAUUUUAUUUCUUGUCACAAAACAGAUGAUGCUACACAUGUAGCAGACUUAUUCUUUAAAGAGGUAGUAAGACUUCAUGGCAUCCCUAAAACAAUUGUUUCUGACAGAGAUGUCAAAUUUCUUAGCCACUUUUGGAAGGUAUUGUGGGGUAAGUUUGGUACUAAAUUACUUUAUUCCACUACAUGUCACCCCCAAACUGAUGGCCAAACCGAAGUAGUUAAUCGGAUCUUAGGGACUUUAUUACGAUCUGUUGUGGGAAAGAACAUUAGAAAUUGGGAAGAAUGCCUACCGUUUGUUGAAUUUGCAUAUAAUAGAUCUAUUCAUUCUACAACUGGUUAUUCUCCAUUUGAACUUGUUUAUGGUUUUAACCCACUAACAGUACUUGAUCUUGCGCCAUUACCACUUGAACACAUUGUUAAUUUAGAUGGUGAACAGAAAGCUGAGUUGGUGAAAUCCUUACAUGAGCAGGCUAGGCAACGAAUAGCCAAAACAUAUGAUGUCAACACCAACAAAGCAAACAAGGGGCGCAAACGGGUUGUCCUAGAACCCGGAGAUUGGGUUUGGGUCCAUAUGAGGAAAGAACGAUUUCCUGCAAGAAGAAAGACCAAGUUGGACCCAAGGGGCGAUGGGCCUUUCCAAGUACUCGAGAGGAUCAACGAUAAUGCCUAUAAAAUUGAUCUACCGGGUGAGUACAAUGUAAGUUCUACUUUUAAUGUGGCUGACUUGUCCCCAUUUGAUUUUUCAGAUUCGAGGUCGAAUCUUUUUGAGGAAGGGGGAAUGAUACGAGAUCAAAGGCCCGACAAAUGCGUUCCAAACUAAAUGGGACCAUCCAGGAGUUUGUUAGUAAGGCCUUAGAUGCGUACACAAAAGAAAGGAAAAAUCAAGAUUUCAAAUAUUGGGAAUCUUGGUCCAAGACACCAAAUCUUGCAGCCAAAGCGCAUUGGAUCUCCAUUACGAGCAUCAACGAUUCAAUUUCGGUAGGAGAUGGAUCACAAGCCCAAAUUCUUGAGGGUAAGGCCCAAUAAGAAGAUUCCAAGCCCAAUCAAGAAAUCCACCCAUACUUAGUUGAAAAUCAGGCCAAAUUGUCAAAGUGGCCCAAGUUGUAAAGUUUUAUUUUUAUUUAUUUAUUUAUUUAUUUUAUUUAGUUUAAAUUUUUAUAUUCAGUCCAAGAGUCCCAAAUAAAAGACCCUUGGCCGAAUUUCCAUAUUAAAAUAAUUAGGAGUUUUUUUUAGUUUUAGUUUUAGUGUUCUAAUUAAAUUAGGAAAACAUUUGAAAGGCCUAUUUAUAUGGCUUGGCCAGCCACCCUACAUUACAUUACAAUUACAUUGAAAAUUUCAGAUUUGAUUUGAGUGAAAAUUCUCUUUGAGUUCUUCAAGGAUUUUCUCUUGAGUUUUCUUUAGAAGUUGUUUUAACAAUCUUUUUGAUUGUGGGAGCCAUCUUCAACCUUCUUCUUGCCAUUGAUAUUCUUUGGAGGGGAGAUUAGAGCCGUUUGAAGGGAGUUGUGAGAUCUUUCAGGAUUUCAAGGCUUCUUAGGACUUAUCUUUUAAUUUCUUACUGUCAAUUCUUUCUUUAUUUCUGCUUGUGCCGAAUCUUUAUCUAAUUUAUUUUCUGUUCUUAUUGUGUUUUCAGCUUUUUUCUAUCUUAAGGAAUUAGCCCAAAAAUCCCUAAUUUUUAGGGUUCUUGCCGAUUCAUCCAUACUCUUUUUGGGAGAAAUUAGAUUGCCGAAAUUUGGGGAAAACUAUCUGGGUGUUCAAUUGGGCAGAAUCGCAAUCUCUUCUAGGGUUUCAAGAUUCCUUAUUAACACUUAUUUCUAUUCUCAAUUUGAUUCUUUGCUGAUUUGGGGAUUUUAUUUCAGAUCUGAAAAUUCAAAAAUCUAAUCUUUUAAUUUUCUGUUUCGUUUCAGAUCUAAUUGUUUAGGAUUUUCGUAGGAGUUUCUCGUGACUUGGCAACUCGAUCUUGGUCCGCGCGCAACCCCGUAUCAGAACCUUUCAUGUUUUGUAUAUUAUUUUUCUUUCAUUUUGUAUGUAUAUUGUCAACUUAAAAUAAAUGUAUUGUUUUGCAUGCUAUUCAAUUCAAAAUCAUUUGUAAUAAUUAUUUAUAUAGUGUUUUUAUCCAUGUAAAUUAUUUCAAAUUCGAGCAUGUAGUAUUCGUUCAUCAGUUCAUCACCCUUGUAAUUGUUUUGUAUCUUAUUGGUUUUAUCUUGUUUGAUAUAUUAUGUGGUAAUUGUUUUAUGUUAUUUCAUGUAUAUUGGUUGCACAUUAUUAAUUCGCCUUCUUACGUAUUAUUAUAUCAUUUGUUGUUCACCCAUGCUUGUAAAUUUUGUUAUUGUAAAUUAGUUGUUUGUUUGAUUUGAUGGGCUAAAUAAGAUUAUGUUAUCUUCAUUUACCAAAUUUUGUAUUUUAUGUGUAUAUGUCAUUUCGUGAUCAUUGUUUUCCUUUUGAUUUAUGAAAUGUUGCUUUAUAACUUCCAAUUCUUUGAAACUAAGUUUUUUUGAUUUAUUUCAAGUAAAAUUAAUGCGUUUUAAGCUAGUUUCACAAUUUCCUUUAAAACGAAGGCGAUAUUCGAUACUUGGUAAUUCGUGGAAUCGUGCCCUAAUGUGUUAGGUUGCAAUUCCUCGUUUGCUCAAAGUAAUCGAAGGUCCCUUUAGAAUUUCACCCACGGCUAUUAAAAAAUCCCUUAAACGAAGGUCAUAUGCGAUAUUUGGGAAUUCACGGAAUCGUACCCUAACGUGCUGGGUUGCAAUUUCUUGUCUGCUUAAAACAAUCAAAUAUCCCUUUAAAAUUUCACUCAUAUCUUUUAAAAAUCCUUUAAAACGAAGGCAAUACUCGGGGUUUGACAAUUCGGGAAUCAUGCCCUAUCGUGUUGGGUUGUGAUUUCUUAUUUGUUCAAAACAAUUGAAUAUUCCUUUAGGUUUUUUACUCAUGUUUAUUAAAAACCUUUCAAAACGAAGGCGACUCUAGAUGUUUGGCAAUUUGAGAAUUGUGCCCUAUCGUGCUGAGUUGCACUUUUUCAUUUGUUCAAGGCAAUCGAAGAUUCCUUCGGAAUUUCACUCUUAUUUUUUAAGGCGAGGUAAUGUUAAAUGUUUGAAAAUUCGAGGAAUCAUGCCCUACUGUGCUAUGUUUCAGUUUUUCGUGGGACCAAAUAGUUGGGCAUCCCUUUUGUAAUUUUUGAAUUAUAAACUUCUGAAAGUCGAAACAAGAAGAUUUUUGGCAACUCACUUGGGUUACUCAAAAAGAACCACAUUUCAAAAAUAUUUUUAAUUUUAGACAUAAGGACAGUAUUUAAUCGAUUUGGUACCAAUUUUGGGUGUAAUGAGGGUGCUAAUCCUUCCUCAUACGUAACCGACUCCCAAGCCUAUUUUCUCAUAUUCUCGUAGACCAGAAUCGUUGUUUUAAUAAACCAAAAAUGUUUUAUUAAAAUAACCAAAUUCUUAGGUGACCUGAUCACACCAAAACAAAAGGAUCGGUGACGACUCCAUGUAUUUGUUUUUCAAAAGUUGAUUCCCUCGUAUUUUCAUUAAAUUUAAAAAUUUUAAAAAUUUGAAAAAAGGGAUGGUUUCGACACACACAUAUUCUUUGGGAGGCUCGAUCACUCAAGGAACACCCGUCCGGGCUAGAUCCUUUCUAUACUUGAGAUCAACGGAUUACCCGUCUAGGCUAAAUCCUUUUCUACAACACAUGCAGGAUCUCAAGUCAUGUAAGCCAUGAUUUAUCCAUCGAAUUCCCUUUUUGACUUCAACUGGGACAUUUAUUAUCAUAUCAUUAUUAUUAACACAUUUCAUAGAUUUUCAUGCCAUCACUAUAACCAAUUAUCAUACAUUCAUAAAACAUGCAAUUAGACAUAUUAAUAGUUUACUUAAAGUUAUUUGAACUUACCUGGUAUCCAUUUGGAUUUUGCGUCUCGGUUAUUCUGAAACCUUUCGUUUUCCUCGAUCGACCUUCAGAAUUUGUUCCUCAGGGUCUAUAACAAUAAAAAUGAAUCAUUAAUACCUCAAAUUAUUCUUUUUGAGUUUAAAUUUCACCCCUAGACAAAAUGACCGUUUUGCCCCUAGCCUUUCACAUUGUUUAUGAUUUAGUCCCUAGGCUCGUAUGAUGAAAUGCAUGAAUUUUCUACAUUACCCAAGUCUAGCCGAAUGUUCUUUCCUCUUAUGGUAGCCCACAUUCUUCCAUUAUUUCACAUUUCUACCACAUAUUUUACACCUUUUGCAAAAAUGUCAUUUUAGGGGUUUUUCAUGAAAAUCACCUAGAAAAAGAUAUUUAACACACAUCCAACUUUCAUAUUCCUCCAUAAAACAUCAAAGAAUAAACAUGUCAGACAUGGGUCACUUUGAAAACAUGAACCCUAACUCAAAAUAUAGGUAGAAAUGGAGAAAGUUAUCGGGAUUUCAAAAAUACGAAGAACAUUAAAAACGAGGCUUGAGAGCACUUACUAUUGAGCUUGAAAAUGUUGAAAACCCUAGCUAUGAAGGGCUUGAGAAAUUCGGCUAGGUGAGGGAGAAGAAUGGCUGAUUUUUGCCUUCAUUUUCCAAUUUUAUUUCAUUAAUUAGCCAAAUGACCAAAAUGCCCUUAAGCCAUUUCUUUAAAAUUUUAUCCAUACAAGCUCAUUUUUGUCCAAAAACUUAGAAAUUGGGAAAAUUUCUCUUUAAGGACUUCUAAUUAAUAAUCUAAAGCAAUUUCAUGCAAAUUGCUUCUAGAAUCCAAGUUUUGACUUUAUUUAAUUUGGUCCUUAUUUUCCAAUUAGACACCUUGCUCAUAGGAUUUCUUCAUGAAACUUAACACAUGCAUAUUUUCAUAUUCUAUACCUCAUAAUAAUCAUAAAAAAAUAUUUCAACAUCGAAUUUGUGGUCCCGAAACCACUGUUCUGACUGGGCCCUAUUUUAGGAUGUUACAUAAAGCAUAUGACAGAGUGGAGCGAUUUUAUCUGAAAAAAGUCAUGCAAAAAAUAGGUUUUGUAGAGUCCUUCAUAUCGUUAAUCAUGAGAUGUGUAAAGAAGAAUAUUUAUUUGGUUUGUCUGAAUGGGAUGAUAGGCGAAAGUUUUAGACCAAUGACAGGUUUGCGACAAGGUGAUCCUUUGAGCCCAUAUCUUUUUUUAAUAUGUAGCGAAGGCUUGUCAUCUUUGAUAAGACUUGCAGCUAGGGAAGCCUCUUUAAAGGGAGCAAAGGUUUUUCGAAAAGGACCCUCAAUUACACAUUUAUUGUUUACAGAUGACCGCAUUCUUUUUGGGGACGCAUCAGUUAGAAGAACUAAUAAUCUCAAAGGUGUUUUAUGAGAGUAUGAAGUAUGCUCAGGACAAUGUAUUAACUUCAAAAAGUCAAUAGCAUAUUUUAGUACAAAUGUCUCUAAGAAAAUUCUAGAACAGGUUGCUAGCAUACUGGAAGUUCAAACCUCCAACAACCCAGAAAAAUAUCUAGGAUUACCAAAUAUGGUUGGAAGGGAUAAGAAAAGAUCUUUCCAAAUUUUAAAAGACAGGAUGAUUAGUAAGGUUAGAGGGUAGAGCACAAGAUUUUUGUCGAUAGGGGGGAAGAAGGUUUCCAUAAAAACAGUACUGCAAGCCAUUCCAACCUACACUAUAUUGUGUUUUUUAUUACCAAAUUCAUUGUGAAAGAAUUAGAAAAUAUAAUAAGCCAAUUUUGGUGGCAAAAAAAUCAUGAAAAACGUGGCAUCCACUGGUGCGAAUGGAGUAAGCUGGGUAAGUUAAAAGAGGAUGGGGGAAUGUGAUUUCGAUGUCUUUCAAAUUUUAACGUGGCUAUUCUUGCUAAAUGAAGUUGGCGUUUGAUUUAUUAUCCAAAUUCAUUAUUAGCCAAAUCUUUAAAAGCUAAAUACUACCCAAACUCAGAUUUUAUGCAUGCACGAUUAGGGAGUUUACCAUCAUAUACCUGGCAAAGCCUUUGGUCCGCAAAAGGACUUCUUGAAACAGGAAUGGGCUAACGAGUUGGGUCGGGAACUCAAAUUCAAAUCUGGAAUGAUGCAUGGAUUCAAGGCUUGGCUGACUACAAGAUUCAAUUUCCAUAAAGCACCCAAAGUCUUGUGUUAGUUUUUGAACUCAUUGAACAAAAAUCAAAUCAGAGGAAGAAAGAGUUAAUUCAAUAUACCUUCUACCAAGAUGACGCAACAAGGAUUCUUUGCAUCCCUCUCUCACUUGAAAAAGAAGUGGAUAAAAUUAUAUUGCACGAAGAAGCCUCAGGAGGUUACACAGUACGGAACGGGUAUAAAAAUUUAAUACAAUCAGAAUUAUCAACAAAUUUACAGAAAAACCAAAUUAUUUACAAACCCAUGUAUAAAUAACUUUGAAAGAUAAACUUGCCAUCCAAAAUAAAAAUUUUAGUAUGGAAGUCGUUAAAGAACUUCCUUCCUACUUUUUCUAAUCUGGUUCAAUGAAAGAUAAGAGACUCUGCGACUUGCCCAAGAUGUAGUAAUAUUGAAGAAACCAGAGAGCAUUUUUUCGGGAUUGUUUCUUUGCAACAGAAGUUUGGACAAGGCUAGGAAUUGGAUGGCCACUGGAACAAAAUCAGACACAAUUUUAGAAUUGGAUGCAUUAUUUAUUUGACAAAAAAUCAAAAAGUCAGAUAAGAAGCAUUGCAUGUGGUAUAUGGGGCUUAUUGUCUGCAAGAAAUAGGCUACUUCAUGAAAAUAAGGCACAAACAGAAGAGAAAGUUGCCCAAUUUAUUUUAGACUACAUAUAGGAAAUCGAAAGGGUAAAUAGGAAAAUACCUCUCAACACAACUGCUAAUGAAAACUAGAAGCCACCAAACGGUUUGAAUGUCAAAAUCAAUUUUGACGCUGCAUUUGAAAGACAGAAUUUUAGAUUGUGUACAAGAAUCGUUAUAAGGAAUGUUUUGGGUCAACUAUUAAAAACUAAAAUUUACAGAAACGAACAUAUACCAACAACAUUUGCAGCAGAAGCUCUCGCCUGCGUCCAGGCAAUACGUUUUGGGGCAGAAUCUGGUUUCUUACAAGUUGAAGUCGAGGGUGAUGCGUUAACUGCCAUCAAGAAAUUAAAAGGUCAGGAGGAGGAUGGAUUAGAAAUUAGAGCAUACAUUCUUGAUGCAAAACGAUUAUACAGUAAUUUUGUUACUAGUGAUUUUCAACAUGCAAGGAGACAAACGAAUAAAGUAGCUCACCUAUUAGCACAAGAAGGCUUAAGGGAAAGUGAAAAUACAUAUCUUAGGUCUGGCUUCUCCAGUGCGGUUGCAAGAGCUGUUGAAACUGAUAGGCCAAUAAUCAAUUAAAGCAUAUUUCUUUGACAGAAUCUGAAGACAAAAGGGGAAAUGGCUAUCUACAAAAGGGGAAAUGGGACAAAAGGGGAAAUGGCUAUCUACAAAAGGGGAAAUGGCUAUCUCUAUUUGAAAAAUAGGGAUUAGUUUGGGAAUUUUAAAAGAAAUAUAUGGAUGUCAAUAAUGGAAAGGUGUUUCGGGUAAUGCGUCAAUCCUAUUGAAGAAUGACCAAAAUAGUGAGAAAACUCACUAAUCAUGGAAAUACUUUACCAAGAGAGGAGAAGCUAAGAUUCAUGGCGGUUUACUAAAGAAACAUUGAAAAUAAAAAUGUGAAAGAAGAAGGGAAACCAUCUGAAAUGAAGAUUGGCUACGGUGACUGAUUUAGGGUUUCUUGAAAUGUUAUUUCGUUUAGGCAUUAGUAUUUUUUAG
rnacentral:lncRNA from 1 species